rnacentral:rRNA from 1 species
UACGGGGGGUGCGAGCGUUGUCCGGAAUCACUGGGCGUAAAGGGCUCGUAGGUGGCCAACUAAGUCAGACGUGAAAUCCCUCAGCUUAACUGGGGAACUGCGUCUGAUACUGGAUGGCUUGAGUUUGGGAGAGGGAUGCGGAAUUCCAGGUGUAGCGGUGAAAUGCGUAGAUAUCUGGAGGAACACCGGUGGCGAAGGCGGCAUCCUGGACCAACACUGACACUGAUGAGCGAAAGCCAGGGGAGCAAACGGG